rnacentral:rRNA from 1 species
UACGUAGGUGACAAGCGUUGUCCGGAUUUACUGGGCGUAAGGAGCUCGUAGGCGGUUUGUCGCGUCGAAUGUGAAAACCCGGGGCUCAACCCCGGGCCUGCAUUCGAUACGGGCAGACUAGAGUUCGGUAGGGGAGUCUGGAAUUCCUGGUGUAGCGGUGAAAUGCGCAGAUAUCAGGAGGAACACCGGUGGCGAAGGCGGGACUCUGGGCCGAUACUGACGCUGAGGAGCGAAAGCGUGGGGAGCAAACAGG